rnacentral:rRNA from 1 species
UACAGAGGCCACGAGCGUUAGGCGGAAUCACUGGGCUUAAAGCGUGUGUAGGUGGAUGGGUAAGUACUUUGUGAAAUCCCACGGCUCAACCGUGGAACUGCUUGGUAUACUGCCUGUCUUGAGGCACUCAGGGGCGAGCGGAACAGAUGGUGGAGCGGUGAAAUGCGUAGAUAUCAUCUGGAACGCCAAUGGUGAAGACAGCUCGCUGGGGGUGUACUGACACUGAGACACGAAAGCCAGGGGAGCAAACGGG